AGGUGCAGAAGUGGGCCUGGGAGAGGGAAUGCACGGAGAGGGAAUGCGCCACCGAAGGCAGCAGGCCCAGGGGCUCAGGAGGUGUGCCCUCCUAGCAAAGCAGGAGAGCAGGUACCCGUGAGAGGGGCCGCAGCAGGGCUCGGAGGUUCACCUGGGCUCCCCGUGCCAGGCCAGGGUGCGGGGUGGCAGGCGCCGCUACAGACCUGAGCUGCCGAUGGCCACGUGCUGGGACCCGAGGGACCAGGCCACGUGGAUACACUUACCGUAAGGAGGGGCCUCCGGGGUCCUGCCCUGCCCUGCGCGCAUGUGGAGGCCAUUUCCUCAGGCUGGCAGCCCCGGGGAGGGAUAGAGGGACCGCUAUCAGGGGCCCUGCUCAGUCUGUACAGUCAAAAGAAACCAAGGACGGUGACCAGCAGGCUUCGUCACCUCCCCAGUCUGGUGUCUGGGCACCUCAGAUGUGUAGCAGGCCUCCUUUGCCUCAAGCAGGGUCAGGUGCACCCCCUGCUCCGCGCUCCCAGGGGCACCUGGGAUGGCCUGAGGUUAGAGAACACUUGUCCCACACUGGUCUCUCCUGUUGCAUCUGGAUCGUGGGUUGAGUCUGAAACCCAGUGCGUAGCCACGGCCCCAAACUGCCAGUUCAGCCACGAGAGUAGCUUGGCGAUCUCCGCGGCCCUGGGAAUGGCUGCAAAGAUUUAGGCAGUAUUGCGGACUAUCUUCACAUCGGGGGCCAUCAGCAAGGUCUCUGACACACAGUCAUAGGGCCAGUUAGCUCGCAGCCACAUGUGCGGUGCAGAGACUGGGGGCGGGGGAGACACUGCCUAAAAAGAGAUGUAAUCACAGACGUUCCCGGCUUUUCCAUCCUGUGGUACAAUCUCCAGCCGGAGCGGUACCGCUCCAGCACUGUGUUUGCAUGAUGGUGAAGCCCGAGGGUCUGCAGGUCACCCUGCCCCCAGGCCACACACAGCCCAAGAUCAGCCAGAGCCACAGCACGGCAGCGUUCGAUGAGCCCGGUCAGUUCCCGGGCCGCUGUUGGAGGACUGACUGCUGGGUGUGGAGCGUUCGGCAGCGCGGGUGCUUUAGCUCGUCUAGCGGGGCGGCUGUGCCUUGCAGCUUUCACGCCCUGCCCUCACUCCUGAGUGUGGCUCGCAGCUCCCAGGCAGAGCCUUUCUCUCCCUCUCAUGGAUACCCAAACCAUGCCUCUGGUGAGUCCCCGGGAGAGGGUUCCUGCUGCCUGGAAACUAGCAGGGAUUUUAGCUUCAUGAGCCAGCCCUCACUGCCACCGUUUGUGGGGAGGACUCCCCAGAAGUGAUCUCCCACGAACUCCAUGGGCGCUUGACCCUGGAGCACUGGGGGGGGGGCGAGAUUCAGGGAUGGGGGCCUCACCCUGGGCUGCCAGCCUCGAUGAGCUCACCAGUAUGAAGUGGAUGGUGAACUGCUGGGAAAAUCCUCCAGAAGGGAGGGGUGGAAUCAGGACAAAGUAAAAAAGGACACUGUCGGGUUUGGGGGGUGGAAGCUUGAGGAUCGCCAGAGAUGACGAAAAGUGGAACUCGGGGUGGGGGGCUAUAACAUUUGGUGUGUGGGGUACUUGGGGUGUGAAGGCCCAGGGGGCAAGAAGCAGGAGGACAGUCUGGGCAAGACUUGGAUCCGCCUCAGGGAUCACUUGCCUCAAAGGAGCCUGAAGAGGGUCUCCAGAAGGAGUCAGCGUAGGGAGUUGCAAGGAGCACCGUGCUGGGAGAGUCCUCUGCUCAGUCUCCAGACAGGGAGCGUGGGCAGCCUGUCAGAGUCCAUCCUGUCAGGUGGUCCAAGGGCACAGGGUGCCACUGUCACUCUCUCAAGGCUCUGGGGCAAGGGCAAGGCCUCCGACGCCGGGCUCAGCCCUGUGCUGAGGGCCCCUUUCCACCGAGGAGGGGUCUCUCACCUCAGGCAGUCGGGAAUGUGUUCACAGUCGGCCUGGGUGGGCGCAGGGUGGGGCCUUGGUCUCCAGAAGAGCCCGGUGGGAUUCCAGAAGCUGACGCUCAACGGGUGUGUAUUGGGCUGGCACUGAGCCCAUGGAGGCCCAAACCAGUAGGAAGCCAGGUGGGCUCGUGUUUGCCCCUGGAGAGCAUGGAACCUCUGUGCCCCUUUCCCACGCACCCCGCCCUCUGCAUCUCUGCCGUCUGGCUAUUCCCCGUUACAUCUUCUUACAAUAAGAUGGUAACCUAGUCAGUAAACGGAUUUCUUGAAUUCUGUUAGCAGCUCUAGCAAAUUAAUUGAACACAAGGGGGGGCUCUGAUAUACGGCCAGUUGGUCAGAAGGCCAGGUAGAAACCUGACCUGGGGACUGGUGUCUGAAAUGGGGGCGGGGUGCACGUGCAGGCUUGCGGGACUGAACCCUGAAACUAUGGAUUAUUGCUUUGCAACCUCAGGAGCUCUCUGGGUGAAAUCUAAAACCGGCCUCCGUACAGGGAGGGCGAGGAGAGGUUGCUAGAAGAGGUGGACCUCCGUAGCCUGGCGGGCGGCAGGUUUCAUAAGCAAGGGGACGUCCGUGAAGGCUCCCUUGGGCAGCUGCACUGCGAGCAGAUCUCCACACCCGCCCCCCCCCCGAAUCUCCCAGGUUCACAGAGAGGCCUUAGUGGGGUCCAUCACGUGUGCUGUCCAGAUGGCCUCAAAACAGGGUCCAGGGCCCCUCGUACAGGGACCGUGGGGACAUACAUUCCAGGUCAGGGGAGGGGUCAGGAGCUUCUGACCCAAAGGAUCUAGUUUGUGGGUCAGUAGGUAGUCCUGUCUUCUCGAUGAUCUCCUCCAGCAGGAGUGUGAUGCCCUCUCUGGGGAGGUGGGGUCACUGGGUGAACUGACACGGCCGCACCCUAUCCAGACACACGAGCAGUUGUUGCUGAGGGAACAGCCCCGUGGCGCGGGCUCGAUAAAAGCCACUGUGAGGUGUGUCUAACCUGAGAAAGGGGACUGCUCAUUCCCCCCCCUUAUAAAACCAGGUGGCACCCCGGAUGAGGCGGCUGACAGAGCGUGGGCAGGCCUGUGGGACUGGCUUGCAGACGACCGGGUCGCCAGCCGCUGAAUGUGCCUGUUGCGCAGAUUAUAGUAAACGCUGUGACUGAGGGGCCACUUUGUACCUUCCCCGUUAGAAGCCUGAACAACAGUUCCAGAGAGAGGCCUUAGCGGAUUCGCCGGGGUGGGGUAGGGAGAAGAGCGCUUUCGGGGACUCCUUGACGCAGGAGCCCAUGAGCUGUGAUUCCAAACUCUGUUGCUGAAGUCUUGCCAGGGGCCCAGGUUCAAUCAGGAGGCCAUGGAGAUACAGCCUUCCAUGGGAUUAAGGGGGAAGUUUGGAUGAAAACUGGGUUUUUCUUUUUGAACAGAUUUGAUGUAAGGUGGUGGCAUCUUGUUGACCUGAAUGUAUGGGGUAGAUACUAUGUCCAAGUGCGGACUCCUUCUCUUGGCUGAUAGUUAGGACAGAAGGCCUGUGAGCCCACCGUCAGGCCAGCAUUAAUCGGAGAUGCCCUAUAGAAAGCACGAGAACUGCCUGAGCCCCCAGAGGUGGCUAAUUGAACGUGGUAUAGAAUACGGGUGGACAAGAAGAGCUGACCCCUUUGGUUCAUGACAUCCUAGAAACUGGAGUCGUGGUAGCGACAGUCUCCUCACAGUAGCCCUGUGUGCCCUGUGGGAGCAGCGACGGCUCACGGUGACCAAGAGUAAACCACUGAGGACUGGAGAGCCUCAGCGACUCCAGCCACGCAGAUACAACAGGCUAGGGGCGCCUGGCUGGCUCAGGCUGCGGAGUGGAGCAAGCGACUCCUGACCUCAGGGUUGUGAGUUCGAGCCCCCUGUUGGGUGUAGAGAUGACUUAAAAAUGAAAUCUUAAAAAAAAAAAAAAAAGGGCAAAAGAAAAUACAGCAGACUGAAGGAGAGGAGUCUGGUUCUCAGUGACUGAUCUUGCAAACACUUUCUUCUCUUCGUCUUGGAGAGGAGCCCACCGCAGUCUGCCUUCGUGCGAGAAGGGUCUUGAUGUACGUUUACUGCGCUGCCUCCGGUUAUCUGAGCUCAGCUCUACCGUAGUGAUGUGGUCAGAAAGGAUUCGACUUAUGCAGGGCUCAGGCGCAGUCACGCGCUGUGGUAAUGACGUUAUGAGAGAUCGGACAGUGAAGAUCAGGCUGGGACUGACUCGAGUGUGAGGGUGACGUACAGGACCAGCUAGUCCCGGUUAGGAAGUCCAGGAAGGCCCAAGGGUCUCCUCAAGCAGUGACACUCUCAGGAAUAACCUGGGCAGGAGCCACUUGGGAUGUCACGCAAGCAACUAAAAGUAAUUGUCACUGCCCAUCCCUAGGACCAAACAAGAAGCUAGCGUUUGGUCAGUGUAUUUGGAUUUUGGAGAAUGCAUGCUCCGUAUCUGGGAAUUUUGCUAACUCCCGUCUCUGAGACGACCCCAAAGAAAGCUGUAUUUGAGUGGGGACCUGCACAAAAGCAGGCCGUGUUUGAAUUAUGAAAGGUGGGAGCUCUCUCGCUGCCUUUGAACCCUUGUGAUCCCCACUCACAUGGGGCACAUGUUUGCCACCUGUACUCCUGCAGACUGGGGCUUAGGGUGAAAGCCCAUGAGCCCCUCCGUAGAGAGAAAGAUGGAGUCACUCGUGUCAAGCAGUGACGCAAGCAGCCCAAGGGCAUUGCAGCCAUGGCCAGAUACCACCAAAGCCAGAACAGACUGGCAGGACUAAGGACUGAUAACCUGUGAGGCCAUGUGAACCUGGAAGAACAGAGAGAGGAUAUCACUAGCAUCAGGAAAGCUGCAGAGGCCCAAGGCCGAUCACAGCCCUUUAAAAGGAGGACUUUCACAGUGAACUGUCAGGCUCUCCAGACGCUGACCAUUUCCCGUCUGACCACAUGAGAAAGGCAGCUGCCACCAAAGGCUCUGAACAUAACCGAGCUGCUCCCCCGUUGAACGUAAUAAGCAUGAGUGUGGAGAGCUGACCCUCAAACUGCACGGAAGCCUCGUCUCGGCCGCGCACUCACAGACCGAUUUCAUGCCGCUUUCAUUAACUUCUUACCCCUGUUGUAUCUUGGGGGUGUGACUUUGUAUUUUUGGACUUUGCUUUGUGGGACACAUGAUGCAGGUUUGGAAUCUAGGUGAGGUUCAGUGGGGUGAAGUCCGGAGUCCGGAGCCCACAGCCAAGAAUAAAUUCUCGAGAUGUCUUUGGUGCAAAAUGGUGGCUUAUUAAAGCACGGGGACAGGACCCGUGGGCAGAAGGAGCUGCUGCCCCGGGUUGUGAGGGGUGGCUGAUUAUGUACUAUGGGGUUGCAGGAGGUAAGGGAAAAGGUUUCAAAAGCAUUUUCAUAUGUUAAAGAAGACUCACAGGAUGACUGAGGUCUUGCCAUUGUCGAGCGAAGGUUGUUUUUCCCUCUAGUAAGGCAUUAACAUGAACAUAGCUGGGAACUUCCUGGAGGAACAUUACACUCUGCCAGCUUCAAGUAUCUGUCAAUGGGCUGCAGGUUAUAAGGACGUUUAACUGUAUCUACAUUCCCUUCUGGAAGCUAGGUUAUUAAUAGAAAUGCUUUGUUCUUGUAGACUGCUAAGACAGUUGUAAACGGAGGGAGACUCUGGUCUUGCAGGAUUGUGAUCUCUAGAAGUUCGCUAUUUGGUUUUCCCUGCCUUAGCUUUAGGGCCGCCGGGAGUGCCUGAGGAAUGUCACAUAUAUUCCCGUCUGGGGCGGGGGGGGGGUAGUUGUGGGGUGUAGAUUCUGCUCUGUCCUCAGCUUGCCUUCUGUUCCCUCAUCAGCAAGUAUGGAGCCAAGUUAAAUGGUAGCAAAAUGUCACUGAGUUUGGAAUCCUGAAACUGCUUUACAGUUAUGUUAAUCGUCAGGAUUGAAUAAAGCUGUGUCUUUGUGGAAAGACACAACUGGUGCGUAGGCGCUUCUGUAGAGUGACUGCCAACGGCCUCCCAGCAGUGACUGGGGGAUUUUGGACCAGAAAGUUCCCACAUAGCGGAUGUUGCUGGCCGGUGUCCACCAUUUGAGCGACAAUUCUUAGCCUGCUCUUGGGCACUGAUUAAGACAGUUUCCAGGACGUGAAAUAAUCAUGACACCUGAGAUACUCCUAAUGUCUUGGGUGAUGUCAGAGAAACUUUGUAAUCAGGAAGGCCGUGCCCAGAAGAGUUCCACAAUCACAUGGAAAUUGUUCACACAGGAGCACACCGCAUCCACGAGCAGCGAGGCUCUUUUUCUCUAGGACGGCCUUUGGAGCCUCGUGAGGAGCCACCAGAACCAACUAUCCUGUGGAUGGGGCUGCAGGAACAGCUCUCAUUGGGACAACAAGGAGCUGCUUGGUUGACGAUUGGCAGUUUCAAGAUGAAUGGACAACAUGCUGUUUGGAAAUAAUGGCUUCAGCACCUUGCAGGGAUACCAGCCUCAAAUAACUCCUCUUCCCACAUUCAGCAUCAACCAGAUGGAGAAAGUGCUCAGGUCAGCCCUGUCCCAGAUCACCUAGGGGUAGAAUUCCAGUCUUGAGGUAAGAAUGGGUAAUUUCAAGAGUCUGGAUGGGCUGGAGGAAGAGGAAUUGUUCAAAUACCAGGAGACAUUAUGAAGAGAUCUAGGAAAGCAGGAAUUCAAGUGAUCUUGAAUUUGCAAGAGGAUUUCUCACUGAUUGCCAGCAGUCAGUAGUAGAGAAAGCACUUGGUUGCUAUUCAAAGUUUUGCUGAAAGCCAUUGAAGUGCGGGCCAUGAAUUGGCAGAACUUGAUUUCUUAGGGUUCUCCUCCUACGUGGGGGGGGGGGAGUUUGUUACUUGGCACCUGCCCAAAUUCUCCUCCCAGUUAGCAUCAGGCUCACUUAAUUCUUAAAAAGCAGAUGAUGCUAUUCUUUAUUUGAAGCUCUCCUGUGGCUUAUUUUUUUCACAGGGGCAGGCCCAGCCCAUACCUAUGUGUCCAGCUUCCUGUAGUAUGUCCUCCACCCAGGUUUUCUGACUGCUCUUGGGAAGCACUGCUAAAACACAAAUACCUCCAAGACAGGAGCCCUCUGUCACAAUAUGAUCUUGUUCACCACUGUAUCCCUGGCAGCCCACAAAUGCCUGCUCCCUUGUUGGUGCUUAAAAUGUCUUUUCGAAUGAAUGGAUGUCCCCACAUCCACUAUCAGCGUCAACAGCUGUGGUCUGGACUUCUCAUGGGGGUUUUAUGCUCCCUUUACUAUCCAAUAACUAAAGUCUUCAGUACCUAUCUAUGGGUUCUUUAACACGAGUCUCACUAGCCUUUAUAGGUGGUGUUUUGGUUUGUUUGUUUUAUUUUGGUUAAUAUUCUGACAGUCCUUAUAAAACCGAGAAAGGUAGACUGUCCUCUAUUCAGAUAUGUUACAUACAAUUCAAUGUGUAUGUCUGAGAUAGAAGAGCAGCCUCAUGGGACAGAAGAGAUAAGACCUGAGGAUAAGAAGGUCACCAACACUGUGCUAAGAUCUGGAACACUGGAGCAGAGGGUCCCAGAUAAGUUCUAUUGACCACUGCUCAGCAGGAUGGACUAUGGGAGUUUUCCCCUUCAAAAUCCCCAGAGUACAGACCUAGCCAAGUCAGAAGAUGUAAGUGGAGACCAGGUACCAAGAGUCUACUCUACUUUGGCCAGCAGGAUUUGAUGGGACAAUCGAGGGCUUUGGGAGCAGACAGCUCACAAAAAGACAGUCACUCCAAUGAUUACCUUUGCAUUUGUAAAGGUGUUUUCAUGGAGAACACAGGCUCAAGCAUACCACACAGCUAUGAAAGUUGGAGGCUGAGAAGAGCAGACAGCCAUUUUAUAAAAUUGAUGUGAAGAAUGCUUCUAGAAACCCCAGAAGCAAGUUAAAACUUCAACAUUGUCUUUCAUUUAUUGAAGAGGCAGCAGAAUAACGAUGGCCAGACCGACUCUCUACGUCAGCGAGCAGUGGGAGAAAACAGAGGCCACACGCCCCCGAACGGUUACCUAUUUCAUGUGGAAUGCAUACUGGCUUGGAAAGGCUGCCUUGGAUCAGAUGAGGACACUCACUUCUUUUUGUGUUCUGCUUUGAUCUACUCCUGAGAGUUGGCAGUUGACCAAUGAGCUAAGAAGCAAAGAAUAUAGAGCAACCCACUUGCUCUAAUUAUAUUUCUACCAGACAUUCAAUACCUGAUCCACACUUUGACCUGCGAGAUGGCCCAACCAUGUGAGCCCUAUGUUUUCCUAUGUUUCUCAUGACCUUGUCAAUGACUUCUCCAAACGGGAUUUUUGGAAACUCAGAAAAGCUGAAGCCAGACUAUGACUCAGAGACUCUAUUCAGCUCAUCUUCUCCUGGAAAACUUUGUGCAAUACCAGCAAAAUUUCUAGACACAAGAAGACUUAUGCUUACUUGAUAAUUUUUGCCAUACUGCUCCCCAGUAAGGUGGUAUCAUUUUAGACUAUCAUCAAUAACACGAGUGGUUACAUCUCUUUAGUUAACCUUGGCUAAUUUAACUUGAAAAAAACAAUGAUUAACAACGUAUUUAC